AGGGGCAUCGGGAGGGAAGCUUGCUUUCCUUGCCGGCGACCGGCGCACGGGUGAGUAACACGUAUGCAACCUGCCCUCUUCAGGGGGACAACCUUCCGAAAGGGAGGCUAAUCCCGCGUAUAUCGGUUUCGGGCAUCCGUUAUCGAGGAAAGAUUCAUCGGAAGAGGAUGGGCAUGCGGCGCAUUAGCUUGACGGCGGGGUAACGGCCCACCGUGGCGACGAUGCGUAGGGGUUCUGAGAGGAAGGUCCCCCACACUGGUACUGAGACACGGACCACACUCCUACGGGAGGCAGCAGUGAGGAAUAUUGGUCAAUGGGAGAGAUCCUGAACCACCCAAGCCGCGUGAGGGAAGACGGCCCUAUGGGUUGUAAACCUCUUUUGUCAGAGAACAAAACCCGGGACGAGUCCCGGACUGCGUGUAUCCGAAGAAAAAGCAUCCGCUAACUCCGUGCCAGCAGCCGCGGUAAUACGGAGGAUGCGAGCGUUAUCCGGAUUUAUUGGGUUUAAAGGGUGCGUAGGCGGUCCGUUAAGUCAGCGGUAAAAUUGCGGGGCUCAACCCCGUCGAGCCGUUGAAACUGGCAGACUUGAGUUGGCGAGAAGUACGCGGAAUGCGCGGUGUAGCGGUGAAAUGCAUAG
rnacentral:rRNA from 1 species